rnacentral:rRNA from 1 species
UCUUGGUUCUGGCAUCGAUGAAGAACGCAGCGAAAUGCGAUAAGUAAUGUGAAUUGCAGAAUUCAGUGAAUCAUCGAAUCUUUGAACGCACAUUGCGCCCCUUGGUAUUCCGGGGGGCAUGCCUGUUCGAGCGUCAUUACAACCCUCAAGCUCUGCUU